GGGAAAUAUAUUUACUUUCCUCCAUCAGAGAUGUUGAUGAUCAUCAGCCUGAGAGCAGCUGUUACUCCUGCUUCCAGUCUUUAUGCUACGCUAGGCUAACGGUGUCCUGACACCACCUCUGCACCGACACAGACUCCUGAGUUAUUCUGUUAUAAUGAAACAAUGCUAUUUCUUAUGAAAAAUUGAGAGCCAGCUACAAGUUAGUAAGCAGGGAAUGUACAGGAAAAAUUGGGAGGUACUGAUGAAAAAUAUAUAUGACACAUAGAGCUGGGCGUUAUCUCAAAUUAAUUCAAACUUGUUUUUGCACGAUGUGUAAAAUGUCUAAAUCAUGAAUUGAGUUAUUACAAUAUGCACAAAAAGUAGAUUUUUAGUCAAAACGUAACACAGAUGGUUGCUGCUACAUUAGCAGCUUUGAGUCACGACAGUCCUGCAAACUGUGAUGUGAUCAGUUUCACUACAUGUUCACCUGCUGCACUUUACAGGACUAGUGACUGAGAAUGACUCGUCUCUGCUCUCGGUUUGUGUUUCUUGAUGACGUAUCAUCUCAGUUGCUGCUGCUAACAGCCUGCUUGCAGGUGUGUGACAGGAUGCAAACUUUGCUCUCUUGAGCAGAGUAAGAUGUGCCACACCCCAUCCAAACCCUGAUCUCGCUCAUAAUCUGGACCCUCACCUGGGACCAGUUUACCUUGGAAGACUCUACCGGGGGCUAUUAUUACUGAUAACACAGCUCCCAGGGUCACAUGGACACACGAACCCCUCCACCAUGAUAAGUUCAACAGAGCAGAGCAGACGUCUCCUGGAGAAGCUGCUUGUUCUGGGUCACGUCCACUUACUGGUUGUCAGUCUGAAUGUGUGAGCAGAGAAGAGAAGGCAGCAGAGAGCGAGAGGAACAGUCAUCCUGCUGGGUGCUGCUACUCAAACCGAAGGAUGCUCCAUCCGAUGUCAGAGCGGAGGACGACGGCAGCGUUUCAUCUUCCAUCCUUCAGACUGAGGCUGCCUCACACUGCUGCUCCGGUUUAUAGUCAGAGGAUUACAGCAGCUCUCUCUCUCUUCCUCUCUCUCUCUCUCUCUCUCUCUCUCUCUCUCUGCAUGCCCUGAACUGUACUCUCUCUCUCUCUAGCUUGAUCUUUGUUUCCCCACCUCACACUCAGUCUUUGUUUCUCUAAUUCUCUUUUCUACCACAAUAUGAACCCCUCCCUUCCUUUUUCUAUGUAUCUUGUAUCUCAUUUGUUCCUCUUAAGUUUGUUUCAGUAUGUGAGGGUGUCUCUGAACUAGCUACAGUAUAUACACGUCUCAUCUGGGUUGAAAUCAGAGUCCACAA